GUGGGUGUAGCUCAGCUGGUAGAGCACCGCGUUGUGGUCGCGGUGGCCGCGGGUUCGAGCCCCGUCACUCACC
rnacentral:tRNA from 1 species